UACAGGGGGUGCAAACGUUGCUCGGAAUCAUUGGGCGUAAAGCGCACGUAGGCGGUUCGUUAUGUCGGAUGUGAAAGCCCUUGGCUUAACCGAGGAAGUGCAUCCGAAACUGGCGAGCUAGAGUACUAAAGAGGAUCGCGGAAUUCCCGGUGUAGAGGUAAAAUUCGUAGAUAUCGGGAGGAACACCGGUGGCGAAGGCGGCGAUCUGGGUAGAUACUGACGCUGAGGUGCGAAAGCGUGGGGAGCAAACAGG
rnacentral:rRNA from 1 species